rnacentral:lncRNA from 1 species
CUUAACCGCUACAAAUCGCAUCGUUGGAAGUUUGAUGAUCGACGCGUUCGCUAUUUCAGAGAACUCGAUAUUACAAGUCCGUUGGUUGUCAAGGCGAAGUGGUAAACAGAAAUCUUCUAUGUUUUAAGAUCUCCGAGAGCUGCCAUCCGAACCUGAAAGUAUCGCAUAUCUUAGACAGCAUCCCCCGUAUGUGACUGUUUACAUCGUAUGGAUCACAUCUCGAUAUUUAAAGAAUCGCUUUUAUAUCGCCAGUCAAACAUAACUGCGGACAAGAAAUUCGUUGACUUCUUAUUCGAGAUGAACAUUUUAUACUGUGGAAAAUGCAGUGCUUGGUUUUAUAUGUAUUGAAUGAAAAUACACCAAUCUGCACUGAUAGGCUCAAUAACUUUUGUUUUACAAGGAUGAAGAUGUCCGAGCCAAUUUACGAGUUUCAAUAUUCGAAUUUUUAUCUGCAAGGCGGAAUAAAUCAGGUCUUUUGAAAGCUUCGCUUUGGUGCGAUUCGAUAGCUUUUGGACAAACGUAAUAUGCUUGGAGUUUGAUAAUUCACAACCCGUUCGUAAUUACCUGUAAGAGUAGAUGAAUAGUAUUUUUUAUAUUUGAGAUAUAAGCACGACGCUUGUAGGUUCUUUUCAGAACAGGAUGAAAGUUUGGUAACAUCGCAGUUAUACAAAGUAUGUUUUAUCUCUGAGGGUUCAUAAUUGAGCGGUGUCGCGACAAAACGGUGCAAGUGCUAUCGUUAUGAUUUUUCGGGAGAGCAAAAAAGAAAACUGUUAAAAAAUUUGUUUAAUUAAUUUAAAAUAAAAAAUCAAAACAGUACUUUUCAGAGUUUUUCAAGCUCUUUCAAGUGGCCUGCACCCCGAUCCUAUAGAUAUACAGCAAUUCACCUUCGAGGAAAUGACUUGCGAAAAUAUGUUUUUUUUUUCAACUUUGGAUUCUGAUUAAAAACACACUUGCGAUACGAGCAUUAUGAAACAGUUAUGAAUCCGAAGGUUGAACCUUAACGAAUAAAAUCCGUUGUUGUAUUUUCAAAUUUGUACAAAUUUUCAAGUAUUACAUAGCAAAAUGAUGGGCUAGGGAGGGAUCGACAACGGUGUAAGUGCCAAAAUGAAUAUAGUUUGCUAGCAAAAUUGUCAAAUUUUACUGAAAAACGGUUGAACAGCGCAAAAAAUCAAAAUCAAAUAAAUAAAUUUGGUCGAUGUAAAUCCUGAUAGUACAAUCUGGUCUGCGGAGGCAUGAAAAACCAUAUCGGCGAGGUCCUUUUUUGCGAACUUUAAACUGAGAAAGACCGAUUUAUAUCUGUUUCGUAAAUUUAUUUUUAAUCAUCGCCUGAAGUAGAGAAAAAAAGUUGGCACGAAUCACGGUCUUACACUGGCAUGAAAAAAAUAGAUUUUCGCAAGUCAUCUCUCGGAGACAGAUUGCAAUGUUGAAUCAAAGUUCGGGCCGUUUGAAAGAGUUUGAAUAAAUCUAAAAAGUACUUUUCGAUUACUGUUUCAAAUUAAUCGAUGAAAUUUUGAGAAAGUCUUUUGCUCUCCUGAAAUAUCAUAACGAUGGUAUUUACAUAGUUUUCCCAUAUAUACCAACUUUUUAUAAUUACGCGAAUAAAUUUUUGCUAGCCAUAUCGUUUGGCAGGGACGUGUGUACGGAUUUUUGCAAAUUGUUUUUAAAAAAAUAACGUAUUUUUGGUAUUUUGGCACUUGCACCGUUUUGGCGUGCCGCCCUUCAACUAUAGCAUUCAGAGUAUUAGUAGAUCCUUUUUAAGAUACUUGGUGUUUCAUUCGAUCUGGAAAAACGGAUGUAUGAUCGCAAAAAAAUCUUUUCAUCCCUGCAAAAGUUACUAAAUCUUAACCGAAACGUUAUAGCAAUAGAUAAAUCUAUGUAACCUAAACGUAGGCAGGAUGGAACUGAAAUUAGAAAGCAAUUUCGUUGGAUCAUUUAUAUAAAUAGUGAUAAGAAAAUGACGUUAUACUUAAACUCGGAGUUAUUUUUAUUAAUUCUCUUUUUAAUUGGAAAACCCACGUUUCUUUUCGAUUUUUUUGGAGACAUAUCUUUCCGAAAGAUUCUCAAAAAUCACGAGAAUUAUUGGGAAAUAUCGAGUAGGUAUAAAAAUCUGACGAGAGAAAAUUCGAAAUUUUUCAAUAGUUGCUAAUAAUAGUUAAUUUUGUCACAUUUUCAUCGUGUGACAAAUUCGCAUGAAAUAUAAUCGUGAGAAACUAGAACUGAAGCCUCCUCGAUUGACACUCCGAAAAAAUACGGUAUUCUUUUUAUAUUUUUUGAAACUAAGAGCGUAUGCAAAGAAAUUGGCGAGCCAUAUGAAUCUUUGAUGUGUCAGAACAGUCCUCAAAAACUGGUAAAUUUUUCGUUUUUCCCACAUACAUUGUAAACUACUGAAAGUAUAAUAAAAGCAAACUUUGAUUGACGGGAAAACUUCCCAUUAUUUGAGGGCUAUUUUGAUCCAUUAAAUGAUCGCAAAUUUUUUGCAUAUGCGCUUAUUUAGUCGAGUAGCUCUACAACAUAUAAAAAGAAUAGUACCUCAUGUUUCGAAGCGAAGUAAGUGAUAGAAAUGAGGAAUGUUUUGUAAUAAAAAUUCUCUCGACUUGUUAUUAUUCGGUCAAUGCUACAAAUUUAAGAAAAAUAAUAAAAACAACGUGUCGGUGACUCAUGUACCUCGAAUUAAUAUCUAAAACUGGAGCCAGUGCACAUGAGUUUCAAACAAUAAAACAUAUAUACAGGUAAUACACUCGAAAAAAAGAUUGAUGGUAAAGCGUAAUAAAUUUGCCGUGAGAUCGAUAUCACAUCCAUAUUUUCAAUAAAAACCGAAAAGGAUGUAUGCCCCCAUACUUAUCUGACGUAUUAAGAUCUAAUUAUUUAUAGGUCAAAAAACAGAAAACCUAUUAGGUUCAAAAAAUAUGCAAAUAUGGAACAUUUCAUGUAAAAUUGACCUGCAGUUUUGACUUCCCGUUUUUCUUAUUUUGCUUACACUUUUUCCGUUGAUACUAGCAUCUCCUAAACUCCCAUUUUACCUUUUUUUUUAUGGAAUACUUCUUUGAAAUUUUAAAAGUGGGACGUUUUUUCACAACUUUCGACAGUUAUUGGUCGUAGAGGAUUUUUUAGAAAAAAGUAAAAACAUUCAUUUAAGUGCUUUUGAAAUUUUUGGGAGAUACUAAAAGAUCAGGGUUAGGACCUGGUCUAGUUGACAUGGAAUGUCCCAUAUGCAUAUCGGUGUAAAAAACUAUAGCGCGAAACCGGGAAAAUAAUUGAAGAGAAGAAAUGAUAAAAGCUGUAAGUGCCAUUUACAUAAUAACAAUAAUAAUAACCGAGCGAUAAAUAACCACGCAGUGAAGAAAAAACAGUUUUGGUUGUUAUCUUUUUUUUAGUUUUUGGUUUGCAGGUACUUACAGUUUUUUUCAAAUCUACCUCUUCAAUUUAUAGACGUAAUCCAUAUUAUCGUUUCGUCAUUCCAAUCGACGAGAGCCAGUAUCAAGAUACGUUAAAUCCAUCCAUUCGAAUAAGAAUUUAUGUCUGUAAUCACAUAUCGUUGAACACAUGUAUAUAAUAACUUUUGCAUAAAUAUCAAGUCAGUUUUUGCUCUUUAUGAAAACUUGUCAGUACGAAACGCAGAUAAAAAAGAGACGCAUAAACCAGACAUGCGUUAUAUAAAUAAUUUUUUUAUCAUCACAAGCGAUCAUCAUAAGCAUGAAAAUGCUUGCGAAGUAUCGGCUAGAAAUUACUGAAAUAAAUGGUUUCUUGAAUACUUCUUAGCGAAUUGACGUCUUUUUAGAUGUAAGGUACGUAAUAUUAUCGAAUGUUGAAAGUAGGGUGAAUUUUAAGCAGUUUAAAAAUAAUUUCUGCAUCAACUUAUGUUUCUCUAUGUUUUGUCGCGUUGACUUUUGACGUAAGAUAAUAUUUAAUAUCAAACCAUAUUUCAUUCCACGCUAUCGCAUGCUAUAAUAUCACAUUUUGCAUCGAUAAAUUUUUUCUCAAUUCUUCUCGCAAACGGUAGAAAGAUUCUCGCAAACAAUUUGAAAGAUGCAAAAAUAAAUUACUUAAAAAAAUUAUACCGCCUCGCAUUGCACAAAUCAAAAUUUCGUACAUCGUUGUUGCAGAUUUGUAUGGAAUGAAAAAAGGAAUAUAUGAAAUUAGUUAUUGUUAUGAUAAAGUGAUUUCAGAACAUGAGACAAAUUUGAAGAGCGCUGCUUUUAAAAUGAACGCAAAAUUUUGUGAUCUUGAUUUCAAACCUGAUGAACAACUUCUUACUAAAAAAUUUUAACAAGCUUGUAAUACCAAUUCUUGGAAUAUUAUUGCGAUAUUUUGUCUCUUCUGUUCAUCCUUGUUAAUUGUGUAAGUAAAUUUUGGGAAAAGCAAAAUCUAUUCAAGUGAGUUGGGCGUUUAAAAACGCUUGUAUUUUUAAUGGGAUAACUACUUUAAAGAUUUUAUAUGAAAUUCUGACGUAUAAUAACUUGAUGGAAAACAUUUGGAUGUUUUGACAAAAGUCAUGUUUCAAGUUUGUCUGAAAACUUGUUUUCAAUGUAUUUUCAGAAGCAAGCUUUCACCGGAAAUCAAAUCAAUAUAGUGAUAUAUUACCACGAUUUCAUAUUGUUCGGAUUACUUCAGCCCAACUCAUAUCGACUGAAAAUCAAAGCUUUUUCGCUAUUCCUUAGAUUCAUACUUAGAAGUCUUAUUAAUUGACCAAUUUCUCCUAGGCUUACAUUUUUAACUAAUAUUUAUACACGUAUAAAUUUAUUAUUCUAUCAAUGUAAAUAUAAAAAUAAUAAUAACAUAUUAUGUAAUAUGCACAGGAACGUAAUAACAUGUUAAAACAUGAACUAUUAAGUUUGAUUGAGAUUUGUUGAGGAUCAUCAAGGGGCCUUUUAUGUAUAAAUAAACAUUCUAAAUUCAUUGUAUUAUAUUCAGUGAUCUGAAAUUAAAACAAAGCGUGCUAAUUAAGGUACAAUAACUUGCGAACAAAUUGGACAGCUUCGAAAGUUUAACUAUGCAAAUGGAUGAUAUUUUUCCAUUACUUAUAGUGCGCAUUUUCAACUGUCAAUUUGAAGGAUACGGGCAAUAAUAUAAUUUACAUUAGCUGUAUAAAAAAAAAAGAAAAUAUACAUUGACGAAAACUU